UACGGAGGGGGCAAGCGUUAUUCGGAAUUAUUGGGCGUAAAGGGCGCGUAGGCGGCUAGAUGUGUCAAAGGUGAAAUCCCCCGGCUCAACUGAGGAACUGCCUUUGAAACUGUCUGGCUUGAGGCCGGGAGAGGGUAGCGGAAUUCCCAGUGUAGCGGUGAAAUGCGUAGAUAUUGGGAGGAACACCAGUGGCGAAGGCGGCUACCUGGACCGGUUCUGACGCUGAGGAGCGAAAGCCAGGGGAGCAAACAGG
rnacentral:rRNA from 1 species